rnacentral:rRNA from 1 species
AACGCUGGCGGCGCGCUUAACACAUGCAAGUCGAGCGAGAACCAGGGCUUCGGCCCUGGGGACAGCGGCGAACGGGUGAGUAACACGUGGGUAAUCUGCCCUCGGUUCUGGGAUAGCCCGGGGAAACCCGGAUUAAUACCGGAUAGCCUCUAGAGCCCUCGGGCUCGUGAGAAAAGGUAGCUUCGGCCUCCGACCUAGGAGGAGCCUGCGGCGGAUUAGCUUGUUGGCGGGGUAACGGCCCACCAAGGCGACGAUCCGUAGCUGGUCUGAGAGGACGAUCAGCCACACUGGGACUGAGACACGGCCCAGACUCCUACGGGAGGCAGCAGUGGGGAAUCUUGCGCAAUGGGCGAAAGCCUGACGCAGCGACGCCGCGUGAGGGAAGAAGGCCUUCGGGUUGUAAACCUCUUUCAGGAGGGACGAAGCCACUCGGGUUAAUAGCCCAGAGGGUGACGGUACCUCCAGAAGAAGCCCCGGCUAACUACGUGCCAGCCGCCGCGGUAAGAC